GCCAAAUCCAGUUUGUAGUGUUUGAUGAAAGUGAGAGGAGAAGACCAUGUACCUGCCUUACAGAUGUCGUCAGAUGGAACUUCUGCCCAAUUAGCCCAUGAUGUUAGAUGGCUGAAGAAAAUCCACAUUAUGAUCUUGAGACCAGGAACGAAAAACUUCCCAAAUCUUAUGGUAGCAGGAAGAAGUUGAUACUUUUCUGGAUUUAAGGAGAGUAGUCACCACAGCUUCUGAGAUCCCUUGAGCUAGUAGUCUCUCCUUUUCAAGAGCCAUGCCCCCAAUUUCAGCUGGCUGGGGUUGGGAUGAACAGCUGGUCCCUGGAUUAAGAUGUUUGGUCUGAGAGGAAGAGGCCAAGGAGAUUCCAGGCUCAUCUUGUUCA